UCCCCCUCUCCUCUCCGGACGCACCGGUCUCCUCCCUAACCAGGAAGUGGGUGCACCCGGGGCGGGUUCCGGUAAACGCGGCCGUGCGCGCGUGAGCUCCGACGAACGCGGCGGCGCCCGCAUCCUUCGCCUCUCCGGUCGCACAUCUCCUCCCUUGCUACGAAGUGGGCGCACGCGGGGUGGGCUCUCUGCCAACCGCGCCAGGAGCUCUGCUUCCGCAAUGGCGGAACGAAAUUCUUAACUCUAUGUGGAUACGCCUGAAUUCGCUUUGGAUUCAUGUGUUGUAAGAUUGCAUAAUUUUAUGGCUAAGGAACAACUGCUUGUUUGCUUGUACUACCACAGGUGUAUGUGCAGACAAUGAGGGCGUCGAUGCUCAAGAGGUGCCCAGUUUCCUCAUACAAGGACGUCUGUGGAGUCUUCAAGAAAGAGAUUGGAGAAUUGCCACAAACUGUUCAACACGACCACUUGGUGGAUACUUCUGUAAUUGAUAUCGCCACCGUGGAUUUAGUAGUGCUCUUCAUUAUAUUUCCCUGCAUUUGACUACAGGUAAAACCAAUCAAUGGGAGCAACUGUUCUUUGUUUAUUACCUUGUUCUCUCUCUCUUUUUUUUGCGAAACAAGAGCUAUCAUUAAACAGUAGCAUUACAAUCAUUCUGCAGGCAUUCAACUAGAAACCUAGGAACAAAGUUGAUCCAUAAACAUCUCCUUCUAAUCGAAGAAGCCUGCUUAGCACAAAGAUGUGCCCCUUCAUUAGCUCCACGCCCAAUGAAGUUCAGUUGGAAAAA